rnacentral:rRNA from 1 species
UACGUAGGAUGCAAGCGUUGUCCGGAAUUAUUGGGCGUAAAGAGCGCGCAGGCGGUAACUCAAGUCAGAUGUGAAAUAUCCGGGCUUAACCCGGAGGGGUCAUUUGAAACUGAGUAACUAGAGUACAGCAGAGGAUAGCGGAAUUCCCGGUGUAGUGGUGAAAUGCGUAGAUAUCGGGAGGAACACCAGUGGCGAAGGCGGUUACCUGGAGCUUUGCUGACGCUGAUGCGCGAAAGCGUGGGGAGCGAGUCCGG